UACAGAGGUCUCGAGCGUUGUUCGGAUUUAUUGGGCGUAAAGGGUGCGUAGGUGGCGCCGUAAGUCGGGUGUGAAAGCCCAGGGCUCAACCCUGGAAGUGCACUCGAAACUGAUCGGCUUGAAUAUGGAAGAGGGUCGCGGAAUUCCCGGUGUAGAGGUGAAAUUCGUAGAUAUCGGGAGGAACACCAGUGGCGAAGGCGGCGACCUGGGCCAAUAUUGACGCUGAGGUGCGAAAGCGUGGGGAGCAAACAGG
rnacentral:rRNA from 1 species